GACGAACGCUGGCGGCGUGCCUAAUACAUGCAAGUAGAACGCAGUCGCGAACGGGUGAGUAACGCGUAGGUAACUGCCUCAUAGCGGGGGAUAACUAUUGGAAACGAUAGAUAAUACCGCAUACUGUGAGAUGGACCGGCGUUGUAUUUGCUCAUUGGUGAGGUAAAGGCCCACCAAGGCGACGGUACAUAGACGACCUGGGCGGGUGGUCGGCCACCCUUGGACUGAGACAGCGCCCAGACUCCUACGGGAGGCAGCAGUAGGGAAUCUUCGGCAAUGGGGGGAAGUCUGACCGAGCAACGCCGCGUGAGUGAAGAAGGUUUUCGGAUCGUAAAGCUCUGUUGUUAAGGAAGCGGUACCUAACCAGAAAGGGACGGCUAACUACGUGCCAGCCGCCGCGGUAAUUC
rnacentral:rRNA from 1 species